rnacentral:pre_miRNA from 10 species
UUUGGACAAACUUAUGAUGGUGUGUUUUUGUGGCAGUGUGGUUAGCUGGUUGUUAUGACAACGUAGAACCCACAACCACUAUUCACACUUCCUUGAAACCAUACUUUGUUUCGGCCCGUUUUUUA